GGAAUUUUGAUGAUUUUGUAUUGAUAAUGUUACUGAAUAUAUACAGAGAUUUGUUACAACUUACAGAAAAUAAGGAGAUAAACAUGUGAACUAAAUGUGCUAUAAUAUAGCCAACAGAAACUUAAACUUAAUUUGUUAUCCUAUCUUGUAUGAGCUGGAUAUUAUCUCUAACAAUCAGGGUACGAUGAAUGCACUUCUCCCAAUUAUUUAUUUGUUCCACUUUCCUCGCAUCUCUAUUCAUAUACAGUUCGUAGCAAUUCCUUUUUCAAUUUUGUCCAAAUGGAAUGCGGAGUUCAUAGUGCAUAGACCACUUUUGAUAUCCCUUUAAAAAGCCCUAUGAAGGGUCAGUAAUGGACACAUCACCAAUUGAAGCUACGUGCAAAUGUGGCUCUUGUACGCCAACACUUUCAAGAGCAAAAUAAUUCAUUGACCUGUUAUUCAUACUGAUGUGAAGUUUUUCACUUUUCGUUGGAAAAAAAAAAUGGGGAUGUGUUUCACCUUAAAAAACUUGGCUCCGUUUUUCUUCAUUUCAUUGACCUGAGCAAAGAUCCUGUGACUUGUCACCGGCUUGCUUGCCCUUAUUCGUUUUCCCAUCCCUCAUCAUCCUUGAUGUUGCCCAUCAAAUCAUGAAGCCCAUGUCUAAUCCAUUUAUUUUUUUAUCAUUUUCUUUUCAACCACAACACCUGCCUUUUUCGCCUAGCUAGUCAUGGAUUAAGUCCAAAUGCCCCCACCGUUUUAUCAGCAUUAAAUACUUGUACUCCCAUCCUACAUAAGAAAUUAACUUAGGUAAGACUACCCUAGGAUCUCUCCCUCCCACAUGAACACUUCUGUAAGCAAGAAAGAUCAUGGAGCAAUCUUAACCCUUCUACGUGAUGAUAUCACCCCCGCCAGAACAACAACCACCAAAGAAAAAACAGAGACGCACACAUCAAUUUUUGACAACUCCAAACAUAAAACAAUGGAAACAUUGUUUCCACCACCAAUAAUCACUACCUUCAAUCAAAUACAAUAUUAUAGUCAAAAUUGUUUUGCUUAACAACUAGAGUUCCUAUCUACUGCCCAUCAAAUCAACAAUUGAAGAUUUUCAGUGAAUAUACAGAAUAAAUCCAAAAACAACAGCGUGUAAUAUGACUACAGCAAAUCCCAAGUCUUUAAAGGAAAACAUAAAUACUUGUCUGCACAGACAAGCACUUUCGUGAAAGGCAGUCUGUUAGUAGGAUAAUCAAUUAAAAUAAACUAUGUGGAAAAAUAGUUAAUUCUAUGAGCAACAGUAAAAGAAAUGAAGGGUCAUAAUCUGUUUUUAACAUAAAUGAUAGUCGAAAAGAGUGCCAGGUAGAUCAGAUUUUUAAUAAAACUGUCAAAUCAAUGACAAAAUCAUAUAGUUGAUAAAAUCAUUCAACAAUCUGUAACAGUUUGCUUUGGUCUUAAUAAUAUGUAUUGUAAUUUGUACUAUUGUCUAAUAGUAUUAUGCCCUUUCUUCAAAAGAAAAGCAAGAGAUUAGUGAACGAAAAGCAAAGAAUUUGCGAGGACUUCUCAAAAUCCAUUCAGGAGAUCAACAUGAAAUUGUUCAGCUAGCUAGAACCACAUCCAACUUAAAAGUAAAAACUAAAAUUUGUAUAGCUAUUCCACUUCCAUAUGCUCUUAGUAACAUGAAAGAAAAAUAUAGCCCUAAUAUUUUCCUCAUGCAUCACACUUAAACUGGACUAGACUCCUAAUGCCCACAAUUCACUGGCAUGCUGAUGGUUUCAGUGGUUCAUGUACCCAAUCAGCAUGAAUUUGCCUCAGCGGCUCUAUCACUAAAAGACACCAAGUAAAGCAAAUAUCUUACUACCCGCCAGUAAGUGUUAAUUAGAGAACCUUGGAAUAAGUGGCUGAGAAUAUCCACCACGGAUAAUAACUCUCAAUGGCUGACAUACUGUAUAAUCAGUGGCCAGCACUUUUUAAACGCUUUGCUAUAAAUGCAAAAAUCUUUGGAUGAGCAACAAAAGAGGACGAUGUUCUAUUGUUAUGGCUCUCUCACAUGUCAUAACAUUAAUUCUUCCAAUCAACAGCAUCUACUAUUUUGUCACGACUUGCUUUCGUAGCUUUCAGGUUCAUAAAUAUAUAACGGAUAACUCCAAAUGGGUAGGUUAGCAUCAGCUUUUAUAAUCCAAUUCUCCACACCAGUAACGGGUUUCAACAACUGCCUUCACUAUCAAUGGGCUCCAUCAACUAUGGAGCUUAAAAGCCACAACAAAGAAAUAGAAGGCAACCAUGGCCAUACUGUGAAUGUUUCCAUUUCCACAAUUGGCUCCUCAAAUUUUAGCUAAAACUUACUAGCAAUAGACUAAAAAUUUUAUAAUCUAUCGUUAUCAGCGUACGGUAACACAAUCAUCUUAAUCAGGAACGAGAUCUACAGUGAAGAAAAAGAGCUUUUAGAACCAUCAGCACUAUUUACAUGGAGCGGCGACACCGUAGCAGUUGCGCGCCAGCUUAAUGCAAUUCAACCAGUGGAAAAUCUCCGCAUUGGGAUCCCUCUCGAUCACAACAUCGGACACAGUAAUCUGAACAGCACCUCUAUAGCUCGAGAUCCUCCCGCGCACCCUAGCCACAACGCCAAUCUUGAUCUCGGAGGCAAAAUGAGCGGCCAUGUCGGCAAUUAAUCGAACAUCUGGAGGGCUGCGGCGAGAGAAGUAGGGGGAUGUGAGUUGGUUGAGCCAGAGAAUGCAGCUAAUGCAACCGGUGCCAUCGUCGAUUGUGAAUUUGAGGAAUUUGUUUGGUUUGUGAUCACGGGUGGUUACGAUGCCGAGGAUUUCGGCGCGUGAGAGAGACUUGCCUAGGCGAGAGAAGAAGAUUGGGUCGGAAGAGGAGAGAGACGGGGUUUGGGCGAGAGAGAGGAGAUCGAAGGCCAGGAGUUUUACGUAUGUGUGUUGGAAUUUUAGAUCCAUUGUUAGAGAUUUUGAGUUCCAGAUUAUAGUUAGAUUAAUAGUCUCCCGGUUGGCACCUGGCUCGGAGAACACCCCCCCACCCCGGUAUGGUCUGUUUGGAUGAGGGUUAGUCGUAUUUGAGAUGAGAUGGUAACCAAAGGAUAAGAUUUUUUAUUUUUUAAAUUUUAAUUUUUUUAUCUUUAAAUUGAGUUGUAAGGAGUA
rnacentral:misc_RNA from 1 species